rnacentral:rRNA from 1 species
UACGUAGGGUGCAAGCGUUAUCCGGAAUUAUUGGGCGUAAAGAGCUCGUAGGCGGUUUGUCACGUCUGCUGUGAAAACUGGAGGCUCAACCUCCAGCCUGCAGUGGGUACGGGCAGACUAGAGUGCGGUAGGGGAGAUUGGAAUUCCUGGUGUAGCGGUGGAAUGCGCAGAUAUCAGGAGGAACACCGAUGGCGAAGGCAGAUCUCUGGGCCGUAACUGACGCUGAGGAGCGAAAGCAUGGGGAGCGAACAGGAUUAGAUACCCGGGUAGUCC